AUGCGGUUUGCGGUGACAAAAGUGUGCGCUAGUGGGGCAAAGGCUCGCGCGGGGUUGCUCCAGAUUGGAAGCAGCGGUGUUGAGACGCCAGCGCUGCUUUUGUCCACACGCAAGGGGCUGCCGGCGUUUAUGUCUCCUGACCUGCUUUCCUCCCUCCCCCUUCCAGACUCCCUCCUCCUCAAUGUCUGCCCAACCCACUUUAUAGAGGUUCCUCCAUCAAAAACCAUAUCUAAUAUUGGUGGUUUGCAUCGUAUGCUGGGUCUGCCUGAUCAUAUCCUCGUAGCCGCGGCUGGUGAGUCUACCGAGUGUUUACCAUCAAGUGACGCCACCAAUAAAUUUGGUGCAUCUUUUGAAACACCUGCGGGUCGUAAACUGGUUAAACCAUCAGACUAUAUGGAGUUGAUUUCCUGCUUGCAACCUAAUUUGUGGGCAAGCUUGGCAGAUGAGGUUCCAGCCUGGGUUAAUGAGAAACGGAACAAAACAUCUGUUGAGCGAACACUACGCUGGCUUGAUGCAUGUAUUGCUUUGGAUGCGGCUUCUGGGAGGAACUCUUUAGGUGUAGUUGUUGGGGGAUCUAGUAUAGAACAACGAAAACUGUGUGCCACUGAAGUAUCGAAGAGGAAUGUAUCAGGCUUUUGGAUUGGAGGGUUUGGCCUUGGAGAGAGUGUGGAAGAACGUUGCAGUUUACUCAAUGCAGUAACAGAUUGUUUGCCAUUGGAGAAACCUCGGAUUGUCUCUAGGCUUGGUCUUCCAGAGGAGGUCUUGGAGGGUGUAGCUUCUGGCAUCGACCUUUUUGACUCCACGUACAUUUACCAACUUACUAUGGGUGGUUUUGCACUGAUCUUCCCCAUUGACAUGGUUGAAAGAGAGAUGCAGAAUGGUGUAUUCGACAGUAGUGCUGGAGAUUCUGCAAAGAUUAACCUGCGUGCAACAACAUAUCGGAAAGACAUGUCACGGAUAGUCGAUGGCUGUACCUGCUUCACGUGCCAGAAUCACACCCGUGCUUACCUGAAUCAUCUGAUCAACGUCCAUGAGAUGCUGGCUCAGAUUCUACUGGAGAUACACAACACCCAUCACUAUCUCCGGUUCUUCCGAUCGAUACGGGAGGCGAUCAAGGCCGGAGAGUUUGACAUCUUCUGGAAGCAGUUUGUUGAGAACAGGCGCUCCCAGAUUGCUGCUGCUGCGAUGUAG
rnacentral:rRNA from 1 species